AGGAUGUCAUUAGAUUGAUGAAGAUGAGGACAACGAAACGUAUUUAAUUUAACUGUUGAAAGCGAGGAAGCAAUGAAGUAAUAAUAGAGAGAGAAACAGGUAGGCUAAUCACAUGGAGGGAAAUAUUAUGAAAGCAAUAUCUGAGUGAGCCUAAUAAUUAUACAAUUAGGCCCUAUUAUAUUUCAAAAUUAAAAUCCAAUCCGCUAGCCUAUACUUGUAACUCUGUAGGCCGCAUGUGCUGCCCCAGAAUCGUAUGUUCUCUCCCAGCUUUAUCAUGGUUUGAACGAUGUGUGUAACUCCAGUCCUUAUAAUACAUUAUAAUACAGUACAGUAAUACAGUUCACACUGAAAAAGAUUAGCCUACUGGAGCUAGUUUCCUAUAUUUACCCAAGAGAGUAUAUAGCUAGCUACAUCUAUGGGCUGUUAUGUUAUUCUGUGGUGUGCAAUGUGCAGUAGACUAUAUCAUAAUAUACAGUAUGUAUUUAAUGUAGGGCUCAUUAAAUGUCUUUACUGUAGAGCUCAUGUUCUUCUGUGGUGUGUAAUGUGCAGUAGACUAUAUCAUAAUAUACAGUAUGUUUUUGAUGACACAUGAUAUCACAUGUACUGCAUAUGUAUUGGAUAACAUCACAAUCAUCAAGGCUUGGGCUCAUUAAAUGUCUUUAAUAAUGUAGGGCUCAUUAAAUGUAUUUAAUAAUGUAGGGCUCAUUAAAUGUCUUUAAUAUAGGGCUCAUUAAAAGUCUUUGAUAUAGGGCUCAUUAAAUGUCCUUAAUGUAGGACUCAUUAAAUGUCUUUAAUGUAGGACUCAUUAAAUGUCUUUAAUAAUGGAGGGCUCAUUAAAUGUCUUUAAUGUAGGACUCAUUAAAUGUCUUUAAUAAUGUAGGGCUCAUUAAAUGUCUUUAAUAAUGUAGGGCUCAUUAAAUGUCUUUAAUAUAGGACUCAAAAAAUGUCUUUAAUAUAGGGCUCAUUAAAUGUAUUUAAUAUAGGGCUCAUUAAAUGUCUUUAAUAAUGUAGGGCUCAUUAAAUGUCUUUAAUAAUGUAGGGCUCAUUAAAUGUCUUUAACAUAGGGCUCAUUAAAUGUCUUUAAUGUAGGGCUCAUUAAAUGUCUUUAAUAUAGGGCUCAUUAAAUGUCUUUAAUAUAGGGCUCAUUAAAUGUCCUUAAUGUAGGGCUCAUUAAAUGUCUUUAAUAAUGUAGGGCUCAUUAAAUGUCUUUAAUGUAGGACUCAUUAAAUGUCUUUAAUGUAGGACUCAUUAAAUGUCUUUAAUAAUGUAGGGCUCAUUAAAUGUCUUUAAUGUAGGACUCAUUAAAUGUCUUUAAUAAUGUAGGGCUCAUUAAAUGUCUUUAAUAAUUUAGAGCUAAUUAAAUGUCUUUAAUAUAGGACUCAAUAAAUGUCUUUAAUAUAGGGCUCAUUAAAUGUCUUUAAUGUAGGGCUCAUUAAAUGUCUUUAAUAAUGUAGGGCUCAUUAAAUGUCUUUAAUGUAGGGCUCAUUAAAUGUCUUUAAUGUAGGAAUCAUUAAAUGUCUUUAAUAAUGUAGGGCUCAUUAAAUGUCUUUAAUAAUGUAGGGCUCAUUAAAUGUCUUUAAUGUAGGACUCAUUAAAUGUCUUUAAUGUAGGACUCAUUAAAUGUCUUUAAUAUAGGGCUCAUUAAAUGUCUUGAAUGUAGGGCUCAUUAAAUGUCUUUAAUUUAGGGCUCAUUAAAUGUCUUUAAUGUAGGGCUCAUUAAAUGUCUUUAAUGUAGAGCUCAUUAAAUGUCUUUAAUGUAGGACUCAUUAAAUGUAUUUCAUGUAGGGCUCAUUAAAUGUAUUUAAUGUAGGGCUCAUUAAAUGUCUUUAAUGUAGGACUCAUUAAAUGUCUUUAAUGUAGGACUCAUUAAAUGUCUUUAAUGUAGGACUCAUUAAAUGUCUAAUGUAGGACUCAUUAAAUGUCUAAUGUAGGGCUCAUUAAAUGUCUAAUGUAGGGCUCUGGAGUUAGGGUCAGAAUAGGGGUUAGAGUCAGAAUAGGGGUUAGGGUUCGAAUAGGAGUUAGGGUCAGAAUAGGGGUUAGGGUAAGAACAGGGGUUAGGUUAAGGUCAGAAUAGGGGUUAAGUUAGGGUAAAAAUCGGGGUUCGAGUCAGAAUAGGGGUUAGAGUUAGAAUAGGGGUUAGGUUAAGGUCAGAACAGGGUUAGAGUGAGAAUAGGGUUAGGGUCAGAAUAGAGGUUAGGUUAUCGUCAGAACAGGGGUUAGGUUAUGGUCAGAAUAGAGGUUAGAGUCAGAAUAGGGGUUAGGGUCAGAAUAGGGUUAGGGUCAGAAUAGGGUUUAG
ensembl:lncRNA